GAAAUACAAACUGGAGAACAUGCUAGAGAUGAAAAGAAAUCAUCUAGCUCCGAAUCAAUCAACUUUGGUUGGGGAAAGACAUGGAGAACAUACUUCCAAUCAAUCAUGGCAAACUCCACGAGGAGAAGAGAGCACUACUGAAGGAUGAUCAACCAAUCAUGUCGAAGAUAGGGAAGGAUUUGUUAAGGAUAUAAAAAGAUCAACACUACGGGGGAAUUU
rnacentral:lncRNA from 1 species